GAUGAACGCUGGCGGCGUGCUUAACACAUGCAAGUCGAACGGUGAGAGAGAGCUUGCUCUCUGGAUCAGUGGCGAACGGGUGAGUAACACGUGAGCAAUCUGCCCCUGACUCUGGGAUAAGCGCUGGAAACGGCGUCUAAUACCGGAUACGAGCUGCGAAGGCAUCUUCAGCAGCUGGAAAGAACUUCGGUCAGGGAUGAGCUCGCGGCCUAUCAGCUAGUUGGUGAGGUAAUGGCUCACCAAGGCGUCGACGGGUAGCCGGCCUGAGAGGGUGACCGGCAACACGGGGACUGAGAAACUGCCAAGACUCCUACGGGAGGCAGCAGUGGGGAAUAUUGCACAAUGGGCGCAAGCCUGAUGCAGCAACGCCGCGUGAGGGACGACGGCCUUCGGGUUGUAAACCUCUUUUAGCAGGGAAGAAGCGAAAGUGACGGUACCUGCAGAAAAAGCACCGGCUAACUACGUGCCAGCAGCCGCCGUAAAAC
rnacentral:rRNA from 1 species